CACAGGCUCCCCUUCACGUCCUCCUCACGGCUCUCACACUGAGUAAACAGUCAAUCAAUCUAUCAAUAAAUCCAUCCAUCUACCCAUCAUGAGAGGAGGGUGAUCUCUGGUCUGCACUGCAAGCAAAGCUGCUGACUGUUUCUUCCCAGUACACACAGGAGGGCUGAUGCAGUCUGAGCCAAUUCCAGAGAAAGAGAAGAUGGAGAAAGAAACAAGGAAUGAGAAAGAGAGAGAGAGAAAUGCAGACCACUGAGUAUAGAAGAAGCCUGUAGACAAUGUCUUACUUGCCCACUAGGUAAUGACCCGUCAGUGGCACCAGCAAGGUUUGUCUGCUGAUCUGGCUGCAAUGUGGAGGAGG
ensembl:lncRNA